UACCUGAAUGGGCCUCAUAACAUUUUCCUCUGGCCCACGUCUGAAAGGAUUUUCUGGAUUUUGAUUGGUCUUCAGGAUGGCUUUUUGUUGGUGUGGACCGCAGGUUAACUGAUAGUAUCCUUUCUGUCUUUAGCUUGAGAGCUUAAGUGCUACAUUUAGUGAGGUGCAAACGGGUAAUUUGAAGAAAUUACAGCCUCACAACCUGGGAACAUUUCUGUGGAUGUUUGUCUCAUGAAAGCAGCCACAGAGAGGAGAAACUAUCUCUAACAGGGAACAUCAUGGCCUGGUGAACAGGCCUGUUGCUUCAGGGUGAGGGUUCAUCUUCAGGUCCAGCUGCAAGGAAUUCUGCAUCAGUGAAGGCUGCUGAGGAAGACUACAUUCUGCUUUAAGGCUGGUCCUGAAAUCUGAAGCAGAACAUGUGGAACCAUGAAGCAGAUGGGCCACAGCAGCAGAAGACCACAACGGAUACCUGAGACUACAUUCAUACUGGCUAACAAAACUAACACAUUGGCAAAAUUCUGCCUGCUGUGAUGAGUCUUGGUUUCAGCCAUCAGGAUGAUAAUGUCACAAAGCUCAAAUCUUCCCAACCGGGCUUCUCUUGACCAUGACCAUGACUUCGCUGUACCCCAAUGGCCUCCACAGUCAUCGGAUCUUAAUCCAGUACAGCACCUUCAGGAUGUGCUGGCCAGGAGAUUCACAUCAUAGAUGUUCAGAACCACAAAUCUGCAGAAACUAUGUGAUGCGAUCAGGUCAAUAUGGAUCAAAACCUCUAAGGAAUGUUUCUGACACCUUGUUGAAUCGAUACCUGCAAGAAAUAAGAUAGUUCUAAAUACAAAAAUACCCAAUAAAAUGGCUGCAAAUGGUACAGUUAGCUAAUUUUAUAUUAAUAGACUGUAAUUUACCAAUGUAUCAUGUUUUUCAGCCUUAUGUAAAACUAUAUUAUUUAAUUUUAUUUUUGCUUCCUUAUAG